rnacentral:lncRNA from 1 species
AAAAACCCAUACUUCUUCUCCCCUAAAUUCUAUCGGUCGUUUUUCAUCGUCAUCUUUAAUUUCCUCUAAAUUUUUAUACCCACUCUCUCAACUGCAGAAACCGCCGAUCGAAAUCAGUUUUUUCCCAUCGAUUUAAUUACUUCUCAUCUCCAAUUUCAUGUCUCAUCUCUAUAUCAACACAAUUCUUUCAACAAUUAUUACUUCCCACAAAAUUGAACCUCCUACUUUCCACAAAAUUGAAGUUCUAAAAUUCGCCGGCCAAAAGUUGAACAAAAAUCGUCCAGAGUCAGAUUGAAGAACCCUUUGCUGCCAACGAGAGCCACUGCCAACGGUGUUGAAAUUUCA